UGUCCCCUCAAGAAGGGUUUCCUAAUUGUUGUUCUCUUUCUCCUCCUAUCCGCCUUCUUUGCCUUUGAACAUGGCUCCAUCCUUUCCUAAAAGCUCAGCUCCGAAUCCUUUUGUUGUGGGUGAUGAACUAUCUUCAUUAUGAUGAUGAUGUAGCAUUUCUUCUUAGCUUGCAGAAGUGUGUGGUUCGGUGGAAGUGUAAGAGAUUGGAAGAAGCUCCCAAUCGGGUUUGAACCUUGCAUCCUGACUUUGUAGUUCAUGGUGGCAACAUCUGAGUGGAUUACUAAUCCACGUAGGAGCAAUUGAGUUUCACACAGGAUAUGAAAUAUAUAAUUGAUGAGAUUCUACAACAUCCACUAAGGUUUGGUAGCUCGUGCAAUGUCAAGUUUAAAGAAAAUUUUGAAGAAUUUCUGUCAUAAGAAGUAAUUGAGAUGUUCGGUGAAAAUGAAGUUGUAAAGGCGGAAAAUGAAUAUUUAGUGACAAUGAAGAUUCUUCGAGAUCAAAACGCAACUUCAUACCACCAGAAAAUGAUUGUUAUUAGGUACAAAGUUAUUUCUAAUUUUGAGAUUUUAAUGAAUAACAUUUGUCGGUAUAAAAUGAUCUUUACAUGAAGCAUAUUAUCAGAUACGUUUAAUUAUUUUAUAUUAAGAUGAUAAUACAUUAAAAUUAUACAUUAAA